AGUGAACGCUGGCGGUAGGCUUAACACAUGCAAGUCGAACGGCAGCACAGUAAGAGCUUGCUCUUACGGGUGGCGAGUGGCGGACGGGUGAGGAAUACAUCGGAAUCUACUUUUUCGUGGGGGAUAACGUAGGGAAACUCACGCUAAUACCGCACUCGACAUACGGGUGAAAGCAGGGGAUCUUCGGACCUUGCGCGAUUGAAUGAGUCGAUGUCGGAUUAGCUAGUUGGCGGGGUAAAGGCCCACCAAGGCGACGAUCCGUAGCUGGUCUGAGAGGAUGAGCAGCCACACUGGAACUGAGAGACGGUCCAGACACCUACGGGAGGCAGCAGUGGGGAGUAUUGGACGAAGGGCGCGAGCCUGAUCCAGCCAUACCGCGUGGGUGAAGGAGGCCUUCGGGUUGUAAAGCCCUUUUGUUGGGAGGGAAAAACAGCAGGUUAAUACCCCGCUGUUCUGACGGUACCCAAAGAAUGAGCACCGGCUAACUUCGUG
rnacentral:rRNA from 1 species